rnacentral:rRNA from 1 species
AGAGACAGAGUCGCCACGGGAAUACGUAGGUGGCAAGCGUUGUCCGGAAUUAUUGGGCGUAAAGCGCGCGCAGGUGGUUUAAUAAGUCUGAUGUGAAAGCCCACGGCUCAACCGUGGAGGGUCAUUGGAAACUGUUAAACUUGAGUGCAGGAGAGAAAAGUGGAAUUCCUAGUGUAGCGGUGAAAUGCGUAGAGAUUAGGAGGAACACCAGUGGCGAAGGCGGCUUUUUGGCCUGUAACUGACACUGAGGCGCGAAAGCGUGGGGAGCAAACAGGAUUAGAUACCCGCGUAGUCCCUGUCUCUUAUACA